GCCUAGAUAGCUCAGUUGGUUAGAACGUAGUGCUAUUAAGGCCAAGGUUGCAGGUUCAAUCCCUGUAUGGGACA